GAUGAACGCUGGCGGCGUGCCUAAUACAUGCAAGUCGAGCGAACAGACGAGGAGCUUGCUCCUCUGACGUUAGCGGCGGACGGGUGAGUAACACGUGGAUAACCUACCUAUAAGACUGGGAUAACUUCGGGAAACCGGAGCUAAUACCGGAUAAUAUAUUGAACCGCAUGGUUCAAUAGUGAAAGACGGUUUUGCUGUCACUUAUAGAUGGAUCCGCGCCGCAUUAGCUAGUUGGUAAGGUAACGGCUUACCAAGGCAACGAUGCGUAGCCGACCUGAGAGGGUGAUCGGCAACACUGGAACUGAGACACGGUCCAGACUCCUACGGGAGGCAGCAGUAGGGAAUCUUCCGCAGUGGGCGAAAGCUUGACGGAGCAACGCCGCGUGAGUGAUGAAGGUCUUCGGAUCGUAAAACUCUGUUAUUAGGGAAGAACAAAUGUGUAAGUAACUAUGCACGUCUUGACGGUACCUAAUCAGAAAGCCACGGCUAACUACGU
rnacentral:rRNA from 1 species